ACAAUCUCUCCCUCUCACUUAAUCUCUCUCUCCCUCUCUCUCUCUCUAAUUUUUUUUCUCUCUCUCUCUCUGUAUACGUAUACAAAUAGGAGGAAUUCUAUACUGUCACACUUGCACCACGUCAUCAAUAACAAGCCAAUCACAUUCCUUCUUUUCAAACAAAAGUACAAUAAAAAUAUUUUUUUACAAUCAUGAUGGGACAUAUAUUUUUAAAAGGAUUAAUUUGAUUGAUUUGUUACGCCACGUCACUAAUAUACCCGUUGCAUUCUAGAAUUUUUCAUACAAAUAGAUACUUCAAUUU
rnacentral:lncRNA from 1 species